rnacentral:rRNA from 1 species
UACGGAAGGCAGCAGUGGGGAAUAUUGCACAAUGGGCGAAAGCCUGAUGCAGCUAUGCCGCGUGUAUGAAGAAGGCCUUAGGGUUGUAAAGUACUUUCAUCGGGGAGGAAAAAACAAAACUAAUAAUUUUAUUUCUUGACGUUACCCGAAAAAGAAGCACCGGCUAACUCCGUGCCAGCAGCCGCGGUAAUACGGAGGGUGCUAGCGUUAAUCAGAAUUACUGGGCGUAAAGAGCACGUAGGUGGUUUUUUUAAGUCAGAUGUGAAAUCCCUAGGCUUAACCUAGGAACUGCAUUUUGAAACUGAAAUACUAGAGUAUCGUAGAGGGAGGUAGAAUUCUAGGUGUAGCGGUGAAAUGCGUAGAUAUCUGGAGGAAUACCUGUGGCGAAAGCGGCCUCCUAAACGAAUACUGACACUGAGGUGCGAAAGCGUGGGGAGCAAACAGGGAUUAGAUACC